GAUGAACGCUGGCGGCGUGCCUAAUACAUGCAAGUCGAGCGAACAGAUAAGGAGCUUGCUCCUUUGACGUUAGCGGCGGACGGGUGAGUAACACGUGGAUAACCUACCUAUAAGACUGGGAUAACUUCGGGAAACCGGAGCUAAUACCGGAUAAGAUUUUGAACCGCAUGGUUCAAUAGUGAAAGACGGCCUUGCUGUCACUUAUAGAUGGAUCCGCGCCGUAUUAGCUAGUUGGUAAGGUAACGGCUUACCAAGGCAACGAUACGUAGCCGACCUGAGAGGGUGAUCGGUCACACUGGAACUGAGACACGGUCCAGACUCCUACGGGAGGCAGCAGUAGGGAAUCUUCCGCAAUGGGCGAAAGCCUGACGGAGCAACGCCGCGUGAGUGAUGAAGGUCUUCGGAUCGUAAAACUCUGUUAUCAGGGAAGAACAAACGUGUAAGUAACUGUGCACGUCUUGACGGUACCUGAUCAGAAAGCCACGGCUAACUACGUG
rnacentral:rRNA from 1 species